AGAGUUUGAUCCUGGCUCAGACGAACGCUGGCGGCGUGCUUAACACAUGCAAGUCGAACGAUGAAGCCCUUCGGGGUGGAUUAGUGGCGAACGGGUGAGUAACACGUGGGCAAUCUGCCCUUCACUCUGGGACAAGCCCUGGAAACGGGGUCUAAUACCGGAUAAUACUCCUGCCUGCAUGGGUGGGGGUUGAAAGCUCCGGCGGUGAAGGAUGAGCCCGCGGCCUAUCAGCUUGUUGGUGGGGUAAUGGCCCACCAAGGCGACGACGGGUAGCCGGCCUGAGAGGGCGACCGGCCACACUGGGACUGAGACACGGCCCAGACUCCUACGGGAGGCAGCAGUGGGGAAUAUUGCACAAUGGGCGAAAGCCUGAUGCAGCGACGCCGCGUGAGGGAUGACGGCCUUCGGGUUGUAAACCUCUUUCAGCAGGGAAGAAGCGAAAGUGACGGUACCUGCAGAAGAAGCGCCGGCUAACUACGUGCCAGCAGCCGCGGUAAUACGUAGGGCGCAAGCGUUGUCCGGAAUUAUUGGGCGUAAAGAGCUCGUAGGCGGCUUGUCACGUCGGAUGUGAAAGCCCGAGGCUUAACCUCGGGUCUGCAUUCGAUACGGGCUAGCUAGAGUGUGGUAGGGGAGAUCGGAAUUCCUGGUGUAGCGGUGAAAUGCGCAGAUAUCAGGAGGAACACCGGUGGCGAAGGCGGAUCUCUGGGCCAUUACUGACGCUGAGGAGCGAAAGCGUGGGGAGCGAACAGGAUUAGAUACCCUGGUAGUCCACGCCGUAAACGUUGGGAACUAGGUGUUGGCGACAUUCCACGUCGUCGGUGCCGCAGCUAACGCAUUAAGUCCCCGCCUGGGGAGUACGGCCGCAAGGCUAAAACUCAAAGGAAUUGACGG
rnacentral:rRNA from 1 species